rnacentral:tRNA from 1 species
GAGACAGAAAGUAUAGGUUAUGUAUAUGUAGUUUCGGCCUACAAGGGGGAAGGUUAAAUUUCGCUGUUUUA